CAGCGGGUAGGGCCGGGGGGCUCGGCCUCCCCUGUAGCCGCAAACGGUCGUCAUGGCGGGGCCAGUAACCCGAGGGGCGAUAGCCCAGAGCAACACGAAACCCCCGUAGAGGCAAUGAAGCCUCGCCUCGCGGGGACGUUGUAGCAGGCCUAGCUUCCUCGGAAGAGGAAGCGGGCUUGCUAACCAGGCGAACCGGGUUAGGCCCGGAAGGGAGCGGCCCUAAGCCUGGACAGCGCCGUUCGCGAGUAAACGGGGCAGAUGCUAAGCGGGGGAGGUAGUGUUGCGGAGGGCUAUCCACCCGAGGGAGCCGCUG
rnacentral:SRP_RNA from 1 species